AUUUAAUUGAGUAAAGAUUAAUUUAAUUGAGUUACUCAAUCAAUCUCAUGUUUUGUUUUUCUUACUGUAAAGAUGCAGUCCCUGGUUUUUGGUUACUGGUUAUAAAAGUGAUAUAUGACAGAGAUUGUACUCCUAGAUUAUUCACACAAAGCCACAUAUUGCUGCAAGAAUAAGUCUUUUGGUAAAUAUGUACACAGUAUGAGAGUGAUUCUGCCCCAAUCUUGGCAGAUGUGCUCAGGUCGGUUGAAUGACACCUUCGGACUGCAUAUUCUCAACGGGAUUGAGAUCUGGACUUGGCAGGGCUGUGCACAAAACCUUUGAGGGGCACAGCCCAAAAGGACAAAACAGGGUUCCCCAAAUAUAUGCAGGCAGUGGAGUGGACUUUGGGGGUCAUUGUGCCCGUCAGCUUCCUCCUUCACAAUGUGCAUUACGAGCCCGUCGCAUAGAAAAGGGGAAAAGGGCUCGGGCUCAGGCUGGGUUUGCUGAACUGGGUUUGCUGGGAAAUCCAAAUAUUUUACAUAAUCUAUCAUUCUGUAGAUUACACCAUGUAACACAUCCUUGGUAGUAAGUGUUAUUUCCUAAUUGCUUAUGCCUCAAAAGCAUAAAACAUUGCUAUUAAUUAGCCUAGCCAGUUCAGCCCGGAAACCUGAAUGGUAUUUGGUCAGCAAUGCCUCAGCUGAUGCAGGAUUGCUCUUGUCACACGUCAGAGUGUAAACCUGUCUCUAUAAACAUCAGGGUACUCGUUCAGUCGGUUGUUGAACUGUACUAGCAUGCGGGUGCAUGCCCACCCACCACCCUGCCUUCACCUGUUCAAUUCUUUGUUCCUUGUGGGGGGGAUCGGUACUGCGUACCUUGCUCAUUGCCAUGGGAACUGCAUAAAUAAUAACAAGAAACCGGCCAGUCCAUGUGUCGUCUGAACCUGGCAUUUCUGGCUUAUAUUGGGAUGAUAGCGAAGAGCAUGUUGUACUGCUGUGGAAUCACAUUCCUGUUUCAUCACAGGAACAUGGGAAGUAAACCCCACAUCUGUAGACACAUUAAUUGAACUGACUGAGUAACUAAUUAAAAUUUAAAAAAUUAACAAAAAUGUAAACUGAUGUUAUUACAAUAAUUUAUCAACCACAAAUAAUACCAGUACAAAGUCAUGGAAAAUAAAUAAAUGAAAUAUUAAAGACAUUUUUGUGGCAUGUGUACUUAAAAAGAAUGAAAUGCUGAGUGCUUAUUAAGCUGAGAAACUGCUAAAAAGUACAUUUCUAAGACGAAGUGAAAUCAUUGUUGUGCUGUUCUUUUUUAGGGUGCUUUUUUAAGGGUUAUGCAUCGUUUAGUAGAUUAGUAUAAUAAUCACUGUCAUAUUACAAUAAGAUAGUAGAACAUCAAGUAGAACAAAACAUGGUUUGGCAAAAGAUUGUAAAGUGUGUAUGUCCAGACAGAAACUAACACCAUUAAUAAAGGACUUGAUUUAAGAUUACAUAUUGUCAUCUUUACUGUUUGCUGUAAUCUGUAUUUUCCAGAUGCAGGUGUUGACAAAGAUUCAAUAUUGAUGGGAAUAUGUGCUUGAUCUGUUUAUUUGGUUUUCCAGUGAAAGGUGAAACAGUAGUUACAAAAUAAAGCUGUUUAACCCCACUAAUCACUACAUCACAUUUGGUUUUCUAAUGAAGGGUGAAUCGGUAAUCUCUGGGAACAGGAUGUAGCUGUUUAACCCCACUAAUCACUACAUCACAUCAGCUCCUG
ensembl:lncRNA